CUGCUGCCUCCCGUAGGAGUUUGGACCGUGUCUCAGUUCCAAUGUGGGGGACCUUCCUCUCAGAACCCCUACGCAUCGUCGGCUUGGUGGGCCGUUGCCCCACCAACUACCUAAUGCGCCGCAUGCCCAUCCGUGACCGGAGUCGCCCCCUUUGGCCGGAAAGGGAUGUCCCUUCCCGGCGUCAUGCUGUAUUAGGCGGGAUUUCUCCCGGUUAUCCAUCUGUCACGGCCAGGUUGCAUACGUGUUACUCACCGUCGCGCCGGUCGCCGG
rnacentral:rRNA from 1 species